GAUGAACGCUAGCGGCAGGCUUAAUACAUGCAAGUCGAGGGGUAGCAAGAUUGUAGCAAUACAAUUGUUGACGACCGGCAAACGGGUGCGGAACACGUACACAACCUUCCUACAAGUGGGGAAUAGCCCAGAGAAAUUUGGAUUAAUACCCCGUAACAUAGAGAUGUGGCAUCACAUUGCUAUUAUAGCUUCGGCGCUUGUUGAUGGGUGUGCGGCUGAUUAGUAAGUUGGCGGGGUAACGGCCCACCAAGUCUACGAUCAGUAGCUGAUGUGAGAGCGUGAUCAGCCACACGGGCACUGAGACACGGGCCCGACUCCUACGGGAGGCAGCAGUAGGGAAUAUUGGACAAUGGACGCAAGUCUGAUCCAGCCAUGCCGUGUGAAGGAUUAAGGUCCUCUGGAUUGUAAACUUCUUUUAUAAGGGACGAAAAAAGGUCUUUCUAGAUCGUCUGACGGUACCUUAUGAAUAAGCACCGGCUAACUCCGUGCCAGCAGCAGCCGCAGUAA
rnacentral:rRNA from 1 species